rnacentral:rRNA from 1 species
ACGGGGCGCAGCAGGCGCGAAAACUCCGCAAUGUUCGAAAGAACGACGGGGGAACUCCAAGUGCAUUUGCGUAAGCAAGUGAUUUUUAGUAGUGUAAAUAGCUGUUAGAAUAAGAGCUGGGUAAGACCGGUGCCAGCCGCCGCGGUAACACCGGCAGCUCGAGUGGUGACCGCUUUUAUUGGGCCUAAAGCGUUCGUAGCCGGUUCAGUAAGUCUUUGGGCAAAUCUUCUCGCUUAACGAAAAGAAUUCCGAAGAUACUGCUGGACUUGGGGCCGAGGGAGGUUAGAGGUACUCCUGGGGUAGGGGUGAAAUCCUAUAAUCCUGGGGGGACCGCCAGUGGCGAAGGCGUCUAACCAGAGCGGACCCGACGGUGAGGGACGAAAGCCAGGGGCGCGAACGGGAUUAGAUACCCCGGUAGUCCUGGCCGUAAACGCUGCAUGCUAGGUGUUGCAUGCUCUACGGGGGCAUGCAGUGCCGAAGAGAAGUUGAUAAGCGUGCCGCCUGGGAAGUAUUAUCGCAAGGUGGAAACUUAAAGGAAUUGGCGGGGGAGCACCACAAGGGGUGGAGUCUGCGGUUCAAUUGGAUUCAACGCCGGAAAUCUCACCGGAGGCGACGGCAGGAUGAUGGCCAGGUUGAAGAUCUUGCUUGACAAGCCGAGAGGAGGUGCAUGGC